UCGAGAAUCUUCGGCAAUGGGCGCAAGCCUGACCGAGCGACGCCGCGUGGAGGAUGAAGGCCUUCGGGUUGUAAACUCCUGUCGAGGGGGAGGAAGGCGCAAGCUUGACCUAUCCCUGGAGGAAGCACGGGCUAAGUUCGUGCCAGCAGCCGCGGUAAGACGAACCGUGCGAACGUUAUUCGGAAUCACUGGGCUUAAAGCGCGUGUAGGCGGAUGGGGACGUCGGUUGUUGAAAGCCCCCGGCUCAACCGGGGAACUGGCGCCGAAACGCCCUGUCUUGAGGAGCGUAGGGGGACCUGGAACUUCCGGUGGAGCGGUGAAAUGCGUUGAGAUCGGAAGGAACGCCCGUGGCGAAAGCGAGGUCCUGGACGUUAUCUGACGCUGAGACGCGAAAGCUAGGGGAGCGAACGG
rnacentral:rRNA from 1 species